rnacentral:rRNA from 1 species
CAGCCGUAAACUAUGCGCGUUAGGUGUAUCGGUGACCACGAGUUACCGAGGUGCCGAAGGGAAACCGUGAAACGUACCGCCUGGGAAGUACGGUCGCAAGGCUGAAACUUAAAGGAAUUGGCGGGGGAGCACCACAACAGGUGGAGCCUGCGGUUUAAUUGGACUCAACGCCGGACAUCUCACCGGAUAAGACAGCUGAAUGAUUGCCGGGCUGAAGACUCUGCAUGACUAGCUGAGAGGUGGUGCAUGGCGUCAGUGACU